AUCCUACUAACGACCUUAUGGUUUGGAUUCAAUCAUUGGUUCUAUAAGAACCCCUUCAUUCAAAACACCUUUUUGAAGUAGUUUCUAAAACAAUAUAUCGUCAUAUAUUUUGUUUGUAUACUUUAUACAAACUUUGCUCCAACCUUGAGACCAUUGUAGUACAAUACUAACAAUUCAUUCAUAUGAUUAGUACUUCAUCCAUUAUGAAGUUCCAUUUGUUAAAAUGGCUUAUUUUCACUUUGGUUAACAACCUACGUGAAUGCACGCUUCCAGAGUCCCACUCUGAUGUUUCUUUCUUUAAAGGCAAUAAUACUCUUUCAGUUGCUUUGGUUCUGAUCCUGGGAUUUAGUAAUAUCUUAUAGUGACAACCCCUGUGGUUCUUCACUUUUGGAUAUCUACUUCACAAGUCCAUACAUGUGUCCAUUUUGUGAUUUUGUGACACAUUCACUAUAAGGGUUAUGAAAGUGAUUUCCUAUCACAUAGGAAAAUGCUUUCUUAAAUCUACAACAUUUGAGAUUUAAUUUCCCUAUUUAAUAUCCUUGAGAUAGCCUUGCUAUAUCAAUAAGGGUUAUGGGAGUGAUGUCAUGUUUUGUCAUUUCUCGAGUAACAUCUAUGUUUUAUCAAGUCUAUCAAAUAGACUUUAUUCACAUCUUGUUGCUCAAAUUAUGACAUCACUCCCACUGGCCUUGUUGUAACUUAGCAUUCAUUCAAAAAUAACAAUUAUAUUUUCUUGAUUUGAAUGCAUAUUGCUCCCACUUAACUUAAAUGAAUCAUACACAAAAGAAUUCCUUCUCAAGUAAUUCCAUUUGAAAUGUGUGACUUGUUUCAUUAAGUCUAUUCAUUUAAAUUAUA
rnacentral:lncRNA from 1 species